GGUCAAGUUAAAAAGAGCACUAGGAGAAUGCCUAGGCACCAAGAGGCGAAGAAGGACGUGACAAGCUGCGAAAAGCUGAGGUUAGCUGCAAAUAAGCCAAGCCUCAGAUAUCCGAAUGGGGAAACCCACCUCAAAAGAGGAAUCCUAUAGCCAAUAAAUAACUAUAGGAAGCGAACCAGGUGAACUGAAACAUCUAAGUAACCUGAGGAAGAGAAAGAAAACUCGAUUUCCAAAGUAGCGGCGAGCGAACAGGGAAGAGCCCAAACGUGUAAAAAGAGAAAAUAGCCAGUCGAAUCAUCUGGGAAGACGAACCAAAGAAGGUAACAGUCCCGUAGACGAAGGCGAAGAUAUCCGACACAAAAGAGUACCACGGAACACGAGAAAUUCAGUGGGAAUACAGGGGGACCACCCCCUAAGGCUAAAUACUACUUGGUGACCGAUAGCGAACAAGUACCGUGAGGGAAAGGUGAAAAGAACCCCGGGAGGGGAGUGAAAUAGAAUCUGAAACCUAGUGUUUACAAGCAGCGAAAGUGGCAAAAGCCACGAUCGUGUACUUUUUGUAGAACGGGCCAGCGAGUUACGAUUACAAGCAAGGUUAAACAUUAAAGAUGUGGAGCCGAAGCGAAAGCGAGUCUAAAGAGGGCAAAAGUUAGUAGUCGUAGACCCGAAACCGUGUGAUCUAUCCAUGAGCAGAGUGAAGUUGAAGUAAAAUUCAAUGGAGGCUCGAACCGGGUAGCGUUUAAAAGCUAUCGGAUGACUUGUGGAUAGGGGUGAAAAGCCAAACGAACACGGAGAUAGCUGGUUCUCCUCGAAAUAGCUUUAGGGCUAGCCUCUAGCAAGAAUGAAAAGGGGGUAGAGCACUGACUGGUCAAGGGGCAUGCAUAUGUUACCGAGACCUAUCAAACUCCGAAUACCAAAUCAUACGCUAGGGAGUCAGACUAUGGGGGAUGAGCUUCAUAGUCGAAAGGGAAAGAGCCCAGACCAUCAGCUAAGGUCCCAAAAUUAUAGUUAAGUGGGAAAGGAUGUGGAGUUACUGAGACAACUAGGAUGUUGGCUUAGAAGCAGCCACUCAUUUAAAGAGUGCGUAAUAGCUCACUAGUCAAGUGACUCUGCGCCGAAGAUAACCGGGGCUAAACUAUAUACCGAAGCUAUGGAACGAAAAACGUUGGUAGAGGAGCAAUGUAUGAAGGAAGAAGCAGAAGUUGAAAAGCACUGUGGACAUCAUACAAGAGAGAAUGCUGGCAUGAGUAGCGAGAGGUGAGUGAGAAUCUCACCCGUCGAAAACCUAAGGAUUCCUGAGCAAGGCUCGUCCACUCAGGGUAAGUCGGGACCUAAGGCGAGGCUGAAAAGCGUAGUCGAUGGACAACAGGUUGAAAAUCCUGUACCGAUACAAUCAGUGAGGAAGUGGGGACGCAGAAGGAUAAUAAGAGCGCCCAGUUGGUGAGGCGUGCAAGCGCAAAGGAUGGGAAGUAGGCAAAUCCGCUUUCCGAGAAGUCUAAAGCGUGAUGCGGAUCGAAAACAAGUAGAGAAGCUUAUAACUCCACACUGCCAAGAAAAGCCACUACAAGAGAAGUAUCGCCCGUACCGCAAACCGACACAGGUAGGUGAGGAGAGAAUCCUAAGACGAGCGGAAAAACCUUUGUUAAGGAACUCGGCAAAAUGACCCCGUAACUUCGGGAGAAGGGGAGCCCCUGUAAAAGGGGGCCGCAGUGAAAAGGCCCAAGCGACUGUUUACCAAAAACACAAGUUUCUGCGAAGCCGAAAGACGAAGUAUAGGAGCUGACACCUGCCCGGUGCUGGAAGGUUAAGGGAAAAAGUUAGCAUAAGCGAAGCUUAGAACUGAAGCCCCAGUAAACGGCGGCCGUAACUAUAACGGUCCUAAGGUAGCGAAAUUCCUUGUCGGGUAAGUUCCGACCCGCACGAAAGGUGUAACGAUUUGGG
rnacentral:rRNA from 1 species